UGCGGAAUUGUGUAAGGGUAGCACAAGCGACUCUGACUCGCUUUGUCUGGGUUCGAAUCCUAGUUCCGCAACCA
rnacentral:tRNA from 1 species